GUGGCGGCGUCGGGGCAGGCGGGCUCCGCGGCGGUGGGCUGGCGGCGGGAAGCGGCCGAGGCGCCCGAGGAGAGGGCCCGCGGAAGGAGGAAGCGCAAGGGACACGGGGCAGUGGCCGGGAAGAGUGGCGCGAGCUACCGGACCAUCUCCACAGCAUCAAUUUUGCAUGUCUGAAGAUGAUUGAAAAGUCUUUUUAUGGACCUGUAAGAAGCUUUAAUUAGAUAUACAGCACUCUACAAAACGACAAGAUGGAGCAUGCAGAUUAUUUACUUAUUCAUAGAGACACAGAGAGAAUGAGAGGCAGAGACACAGGCAGAGG